rnacentral:misc_RNA from 1 species
UCGUAGCAGCACGCUUCGGGAGAGCGCCUCCUCACCUCCAGAGGGGGUUUAUGGUAUUUGCAAAGCAAGCUCCUCUCUCUUUACUCCUUGAAGGGGUGGUCUCGAAUCCGCUUUCCAAGCACAAGCUCACAUGUAAAGCAGCGAGCAUUUCAGCCUCUUGCCACAAUUCUCCCCUUCCCCUGUUUGUGCACGACGGCUUCUCCCCUUCCCUCCGCUCAUACACACAUGCACCGCCAGUGUGUGGGGGACGACGUGAGUUGCUUGAAGGGGUCUUUUUUCUCUGGCGCUUAUAUUUUUUUUCUCAGGAAUACUCAGGGUUCAACGCUGAGGCUCACCUUUUUUUGGCUGGCUUCUUUAGUCACUCCCUCUCUCCUGCCCAUUCGGGCAGCAUUGUUUUCGUCUUGUGCGCCCUCUCAAGCCUUCCUGACCUUACAGUGAUACUCGGAGGAACAACACCCCUCAGCGACUUUUCAAAGACCCCUCCUUCUCGUGUGUUUCUCGCUUCCUUUUUGUUUGGCCGUUGCGCCUUUCUGUGCACUCGGGAUAACAGCGUUUGCCCAAUGCCGCUGCUUGUCGCGAAACUGUUCGUAGCGUGCUGGGUCACGCUGAUGAGCUCCGUUGGGGUGUGGCUUCCUAUUUUCUUGGUGCGCCGCGGGCGUGAUGAGCGGUCCACCGCCUUGUUGGAAGCUGUGGCACGUGGGCGACGGCCGCACACGACGGCGUCGUUUGCUACGACGAAGCUGUGGCUGUCGCUUGCCAACUUUGUUUCUGCCGGCAUGCUGCUGACGAUAGCGUUACUUCACUUUUUUCCAGAGUCGUUGGAGGUGGAGUCGGGUGCCAGCCCCGAUUCGGUGGCGCUGUGUAGCUGGAUGCUUUUUGGCGUCCUGAUCCCUGCCGUUCUCGAGCGAUCUAUAAAAGUUCGUGGAGGCCACAGCCAUGGUGCGACGUUGGACAUGGACGAGGAGCACGCGCACGGCAGCGGAACUGGUAACUCUGUUUCGACGUCGAAGCUUCUCAUUAUAUUGAUGUGCUUCCAUGGCAUGACGGAAGGCCUCUUGCUCGGCUUUGAAAACAGUGUUGCUGCCUUGCUCAGCGCGACGGUGCCGCUUUCAGGGCACAAGUUCUGCGACGGACUCGUAAUUGGUGUCUCAGUGGCGAAAGAGAUGCACUCUGAGGUGGAGGAAGAUGCCAUGAGCGACGAGGCUGACGUGGAGGCGUGCAUCAAGGCCAACCGCUCCUCGAAUCGGUUCUGGCGGCAGCUAAUUCAGGGCCCGGUCGGCGUGUGGCUUCUCCUUACGCCAAUGACGGUGAUUUGCGUUGCCAUGUGUGCCGCAUUGUUGAACGGCGCAACACCAGCGGUGACGAGCGCUGGUUUCGACGCCGCGGCGCCGGCUGCGCUGCCGGUACCUUCGACGGCCGCCACAACCUCAUCGGUUUCGAUUUUGGCGGCAGUGCAGGCGAUAGGAAGCGGUUCAUUUGUGUAUAUUGGCCUCACUAUCUUAUGUAGCGAGGAGCUGAAGGGCAUGGCUGCCAACGCAGCGCUGCUCGCCGGUGUCGGGCUUACUUCUGCCCUGUUUUACAUAACCCGUGGGUACCACUAGGAAACCAUGCUGGUCGUGUCUUGCAUCCUUGCACCCCGUCAUCUGCUCGCCAAGCCCUCUGUCGGGUAACUGCUCCGAUUUCCAUUGCUUUAGCUCUUGCGGCGGUGUGUUAACCGUGACGUACCUUG